rnacentral:misc_RNA from 1 species
GAUGAAGAACGUAGCGAAAUGCGAUAAGUAAUGUGAAUUGCAGAAUUCAGUGAAUCAUCGAAUCUUUGAACGCACAUUGCGCCCGCCAGUAUUCUGGCGGGCAUGCCUGUUCGAGCGUCAUUUCAACCAUCAAGCCCCCGGCUUGUGUUGGGGACCUGCGGCUGCCGCAGGCCCUGAAAACCAGUGGCGGGCUCGCUAGUCACUCCGAGCGUAGUAAUACAUCUCGCUCAGGGCGUGCUGCGGGUUCCGGCCGUUAAACCCCCCACUAUAUCGAAGGUUGACCUCGGAUCAGGUAGGAAUACCCGCUGAACUUAAGCAUAUCAAUAAGCGGAGGA